UUGGGACCAGGGUGUAUGAGGAGGUAGGAAGGCGUGGCCCCUGCACGAGGCCUGGCUGGGAAACGCCGCUGUGAUCACAUCGUUCAUCACUCACUGCUGACCACCUGACAGUUUUCCAGGACCAAGCCUCCUGCACUGUGUGAUUCUGGGAACAUCUCCUCUGGCUCACAAGGUCUGAAAAGCAAACCAGUCAGCUAUGGAAGUCAGAGACUCCAAAUGGAGGGGCCGGCUGAAGCCAUGGCAGAAGAACGUGGAUUGUGAAGAUUUCUUGGACAUUUAUUAGUUCCCCAAAUUAAUACUUUUAUAAUUUGUUAUGCCUGUCUUUACUGCAAUCUCUAAACAUAAACUGUAAAGAUUUCAUGGACACUUAUCACUUCCCCAAUUAAUACCCUUGUGAUUUCCUAUGCCUGUCUUUAAUCUCUUAAUCCUGUCAGCUGAGGAGGAUGUAUAUCGCCUCAGGACCCUGUAAUAAUUGCAUUAACUGCACAAAUUGUACAGCAUGUGUGUUUGAGCAAUAUGAAAUGUGGGCACCUUAAAAAAAGAACAGCAUAACAGCAAUUGUUCAGGGAAUAAGAGAGAUAACCUUAAACUCUGUCCACCAGUGAGCUGGGUGGAACAGAGCCAUAUUUCUCUUCUUUCAAAAGCAAAUGGGAGAAAUAUCACCGAAUUCUUUUUCUCAGCAUGGAACAUCCCCGAGAAAGAGAAUGCGCACCUGGGGGUAGGUCUCUAAACUGGCCCCACUGGGCGUGGUCGUCUCUUAUGGUCGAGACUGCAGAGGUGAGAUAGACUCCAGUCUCCCAUAGCGCUCCCAGGCUUAUUAGGAAGACGAAAUUCCUGCCGAAUAAAUUUUGGUCCGAUGGUUGAUCUCAAAACUCUGUCUCCUGAUAAGAUGUUAUCAAUGACAACAGUGCCUGAAACUUCAUUAGCAAUUUUAAUUUUGCCUCAGUCCUGUGGUCCUGUGAUCUCACCCUGCCUCCACUUGCCUUGUGAUAUUCUAUUACCUUGUAAAGUACUUUAUGUCUGUGACCCACACCUAUUUGCACACUCCCUCCCCUUUUGAAACUCCCUAAUAAAAACUUGCUGGUUUUUGUGGCUUGUGGGGCAUCACGGAACCUACUGACAUGCGAUGUCUCCCCCUGACGCCCGGCUUGAAAAUUUCUCUCUUUUGUACUCUGUCCCUUUAUUUCUGAAGCUGGCCAAUGCUUAGGGAAAAUAGAAAAGAACCUACAUGAAUAUUGGGGCAGUUUCCCCGAUAUCAAUACAUAUAACUAUGGACACUCAAAAAUAUUUUCAUAAGGAAACAACAUCAGGUUUGGAGGCUGUGAUCUAGAUAACUUUCUGAGUCAACAUUUUGCUCCUGAUGCAUUCAUGGCUAUCAAGCCAUCUUUCCUUUCUUCCCCUCACCUACCAUAUUCUGACUUCUACUCCUAGAUUAAUUUCUCCAAGAGGACAGAACAUAUUAAGAUGUGGUGGGUCAGAAUGUGCAGGUGGUAGUGGUGACACCCAGCUAAUGAGUGUGAGAGGCAUGGGUCUGUAUCUCCUCAGCUUUCAAGAUUACAGCCUGAGCUACACAGAAAGAAGCUCUGUGUCCAUUUUAUUAGCAACUUCACAACUUGCUUCUGAACCUGAUAAGGAAGCAAUGAUAUCCCAUUCCACUAGGUGGCAGCAAAACUUUACCCACAAGGUGCCCAAGUGGUUCACUGGUAUUAUUAGUGCUAACUUGUUCAGCCCCACUUUAUUAGCAGAAAGACAGUGGCUAACAGGAUACUUCAAUUACAUAAUGCCUCUGACAGUGGAGAACAGACACUGCCG
rnacentral:lncRNA from 1 species